ACGAGCCUGUGAAGGUAAGCAAAUCUCAAAAAUAACGUCUCAGUUCGGAUUGUAGUCUGCAACUCGACUACAUGAAGCUGGAAUCGCUAGUAAUCGCGGAUCAGAAUGCCGCGGUGAAUACGUUCCCGGGUCUUGUACACACCGCCCGUCACACCAUGGGAGUCGGAAAUGCCCGAAGCCAGUGACCCAACUGAAAGGAGGGAGCUGUCGAAGGCAGGUCUGAUAACUGGGGUGAAGUCGUAACAAGGUAUC
rnacentral:rRNA from 1 species